rnacentral:misc_RNA from 1 species
GAUGAAGAACGUAGCGAAAUGCGAUAAGUAGUGUGAAUUGCAGAAUUCAGUGAAUCAUCGAAUCUUUGAACGCACAUUGCGCCCCUUGGUAUUCCAUGGGGCAUGCCUGUUCGAGCGUCAUUUGUACCUUCAAGCUCUGCUUGGUGUUGGGUGUUUGUCUCGCCUCUGCGUGUAGACUCGCCUCAAAGCAAUUGGCAGCCGGCGUAUUGAUUUCGGAGCGCAGUACAUCUCGCGCUUUGCACUCAUAACGACGACGUCCAAAAGUACAUUUUUACACUCUUGACCUCGGAUCAGGUAGGGAUACCCGCUGAACUUAAGCAUAUCAAUAAGCGGAGGA